AAACUAUAUAUACUCCAUCAAUAUACACACAAACCUGAAGGGCUCAUUUGUUAUUUUCUAAGGGCUAGGGUGCCCCCUACUCCCCUUGCCCCUUUAUCCCUUCCCCCUUUAUUCGAUGGGUCAAAUCGCCAUUUACUGUUGACGCUAGCACUGUGACGUUGUCGGGGUGGGGAGAAGAGGACGAAGCAUUAAAAUCUUCGUCCUUUUCUCGCAGUUUUUGCUUGAAACCUCGUCCAAACAGACCCUUAAGGUACAAUCCUUGUGACUUGCCUUUAAAACUUUCAUUUUACAGUUGUUUGCAUUGAUUUCUAGCCAUUGAUUAUUUUCUUGUUGAAAUCUGGCCCUUCACCGUGUUAAUAUUGGGGAUUGAUCUUUUGUCCCACACCGGUUGGAAAGGGAAGAUUGUUUGUUGGGGGGUUUCUAUAAAUAGAACCCCAUAGUAAGUUAAAAAACAGGUUUCAGAAAGAGAUAAGUUGGAAAAGGUUUCGAAAAAAAAGCUGAAGAAGGUUUUCAAUUAGUUUUGAAAGGUUUAAAGUGAUUAAACCUGGAAAACAAAGCUUUAUACUUGAAAUUUCGAGUUAAAAGCAUUAGUUAAAAUUUUGGUAUAUUUUUAGAGCUUCAAAAAUCUGCUCUUAAGUGAAAUUUUUUGUUUCUGGUUUGUUUUGGCUGAGUUCGGAGUGGAAGUGCUUACAAGUUAAUUCUUGAUCAAGGCUGCACCCACAAAAGAUUGGUUUUGAGUUGAGAGAUUUUUGGGCUAAUAAGAGCAAUAGCGCAGAAGUUCAGUUAUUCCCACACCCUUUUUUCCUUGUCCACCUCUCUUCACAUGACCACUUGGGUCCCAAAUGAGCCUUUGUUGGGCCUUUCAAUGAGACAUUGUUUUUAUCGAGUCGAUUGGAGCAGAUGGCUACCAAGGCGCGCAGAAGGCUCAGCCAUGGGUGAAAAUGGUCAACUAGGGGCUCGGUACGCCCCUAGUCUAACGUAGCUCCUUCAAAUUAAUUGUAUUUAUUGUUGCAUUUGUAUUGGGAACUUGUAUUCCAAACUCAUAUAUGUAGUGGAAACUUGUGAUUGGAA